rnacentral:rRNA from 1 species
AACGGCCGCGGUAUCCUGACCGUGCGAAGGUAGCGUAAUCAUUUGUCUUUUAAAUAGAGACCUGUAUGAAUGGCAUAACGAGGGUUUAACUGUCUCCUUCCCCUAGUCAAUGAAAUUGAUCUGCCCGUGCAGAAGCGGACAUAAAUACAUAAGACGAGAAGACCCUAUGGAGCUUUAGACAAAAGAUCAAACAUGUAAAGAAACCAAGUUAACCAAAAGGAACACAAAGGCCACGAAACCCGACGUAAACUGAUCCAAAUGUCUUCGGUUGGGGCGACCAUGGGGGAGAAAAAAGCCCCCACGAGGAACAGGGACUAAUCCCUAAGCCAAGAGAGACAUCUCUAAGCAACAGAAAAUCUGACCAAAAGUGACCCAGAAUACUAAUUCUGAUCAACGAACCAAGUUACCCUAGGGAUAACAGCGCAAUCCUUUCCCAGAGUCCAUAUCGACGAAAGGGUUUACGACCUCGAUGUUGGAUCAGGACAUCCUAAUGGUGCAGCCGCUAUUAAGGGUUCGUUUU